GCAUAUCAAUAAGCGGAGGAAAAGAAACUAACAAGGAUUCCCCUAGUAACGGCGAGUGAAGAGGGAAAAGCUCAAAUUUUAAAUCCACCUGGUUCCCAGGUCGAAUUGUAAUUUGAAGAAGCGAUAUCGGUUUUGAGGUUUGGUUUAAGUUCUUUGGAACAAGACAUCAUGGAGGGUGAGAAUCCCGUGCAUGAUCAGACCAAGAUACCUAAUAUUCGUUUUCUAAGAGUCGAGUUGUUUGGGAAUGCAGCUCAAAAUGGGUGGUAGACUUCACCUAAGGCCAAAUAUCCGCGAGAGACCGGUAGCGAACAAGUACUGUGAAGGAAAGAUGAAAAGAACUUUGAAAAGAGAGUUAAAUAGUACGUGAAAUUGUUGAAAGGGAAACGAUUGAAGUCAGUCAUGCUAGUGAAAAAUCAGUUUGACGGGUUUUGAGUUCUUGAGUAGAGGCAGGGUCAAACCGUCUCUCUUUCGGACUUUAGAUUUGUUAGACGUACUUUUUCUUUGGCAGGUCAACGUCGGUUUCGGGGGUUGUAAAAUACUUGGGGGAAAGUAGCUCUGCUUCGGGAGAGUGUUAUAGACCCUGGGAGAUGCAGCCUGUGGGAUCGAGGAUUGCAGCAAAUGCCUUCUGGCUUGUCGCCUGUUCCUGGGCGUUACCUUUCUUGUGACAACAUUCUUGCCACCGGAGAGUACUAAUGCCUACUGUUUAGAGCGAUCGAAAAUUUUGCUAAGGAUGUUGACGUAAUGGCUUUAAACGACCCGUCUUGAAACACGGACCA
rnacentral:rRNA from 1 species